UAAGCGUACACGGUGGAUGCCCUGGCAGUCAGAGGCGAUGAAGGACGUGCUAAUCUGCGAUAAGCGUCGGUAAGGUGAUAUGAACCGUUAUAACCGGCGAUUUCCGAAUGGGGAAACCCAGUGUGAUUCGUCACACUAUCAUUAACUGAAUCCAUAGGUUAAUGAGGCGAACCGGGGGAACUGAAACAUCUAAGUACCCCGAGGAAAAGAAAUCAACCGAGAUUCCCCCAGUAGCGGCGAGCGAACGGGGAGGAGCCCAGAGCCUGAAUCAGUGUGUGUGUUAGUGGAAGCGUCUGGAAAGGCGCGCGAUACAGGGUGACAGCCCCGUACACAAAAAUGCACAUGCUGUGAGCUCGAUGAGUAGGGCGGGACACGUGGUAUCCUGUCUGAAUAUGGGGGGACCAUCCUCCAAGGCUAAAUACUCCUGACUGACCGAUAGUGAACCAGUACCGUGAGGGAAAGGCGAAAAGAACCCCGGCGAGGGGAGUGAAAAAGAACCUGAAACCGUGUACGUACAAGCAGUGGGAGCAC
rnacentral:rRNA from 1 species